AACCUGGGAACGGCAUCCGGAACUGUCAGGCUAGAGUGCAGGAGAGGAAGGUAGAAUUCCCGGUGUAGCGGUGAAAUGCGUAGAGAUCGGGAGGAAUACCAGUGGCGAAGGCGGCCUUCUGGACUGACACUGACGCUGAGGUGCGAAAGCGUGGGUAGCAAACAGGAUUAGAUACCCUGGUAGUCCACGCCGUAAACGAUGUCGACUAGCCGUUGGGCUCCUUGAGAGCUUUGUGGCGCAGUUAACGCGAUAAGUCGACCGCCUGGGGAGUACGGCCGCAAGGUUAAAACUCAAAUGAAUUGACGGGGGCCCGCACAAGCGGUGGAGCAUGUGGUUUAAUUCGAUGCAACGCGAAGAACCUUACCUACCCUUGACAUCGAGAGAACUUUCCAGAGAUGGAUUGGUGCCUUCGGGAGCUCUCAGACAGGUGCUGCAUGGCUGUCGUCAGCUCGUGUUGUGAAAUGUUGGGUUAAGUCCCGUAACGAGCGCAACCCUUGUCCCUAUUUGCCAGCGAUUCGGUCGGGAACUCUAGGGAGACUGCCGGUGACAAACCGGAGGAAGGUGGGGACGACGUCAAGUCAUCAUGGCCCUUACGGGUAGGGCUACACACGUGCUACAAUGGCCGGUACAAUGGGUUGCGAAUCCGCGAGGUGGAGCUAAUCCCAUAAAGCCGGUCUCAGUCCGGAUCGGAGUCUGCAACUCGACUCCGUGAAGUCGGAAUCGCUAGUAAUCGUGAAUCAGAA
rnacentral:rRNA from 1 species